CAAGAUCAAAUUAUUGAAUUAUAAAUUAUAUUACAGCCUUCCAGAUCAAGUAGAACCUUUGGAAAAAUUGGAAUUACAUGGUGACCACAACAUGCAACAUAAGUCCAAAAGAAAACUUCAUUGCAAUUGAAAAAUGUAUCUUUUUGACAAAGCGGGAUUGAGAUUUGAAUGCAUAAUAACAGUCACAAGGCUUUCACUACAUAAAUGUACAAAGAUGACUGUGUUUGCACUGAAAUAGAUUACAGGUACAAACUGUGUCUAAUAGCCAGUGACAACUCCUAUGAACUUGGGUUUGUUCUUUUUUAUCACGUAGCACAGAAACUUAUUGGGAAGGCCACACAAAAAUUUCAAAGUAUGUAUGAAAAGUAUGAGACUCCAAACGAAAUAUCUAUCUUAGUGGGCCAAAAGUUCAGAUUUAUUGUUAAAAUUUCACUUAAGAAGAGUGUCAAGAGUGUUUACAUUGCUGAACAAUUUGGAAAACAAGCAAAAACACCAUCGUUCAGGAUUGAAGCGCUAGCAACUCAGCGUCUUCAGCUUUCAAUUUAGCUGGAUGCUCAGAAUCAGCCACAGUUAAAAAUCGUAUGGCCCUGUUGUUUGGACCUCUGUCGUAUAAACAUGUUGGUUAUAAUUAUUAUAUGUUCCUACUUUUUUGCAA